GGGGGUAUAGCUCAGCUGGGAGAGCAGCAGACUGAAGUAACAACGCUCGCAUUCGUUUCUCAGAAUAUCUUCUGAAGGUCCCGCGUUCGAUCCGCGGUACCCCCA